GAUGAACGCUGGCGGCGUGCCUAACACAUGCAAGUCGAACGUGAAGGUUGGGAUGAUGACUUCGGUUUGAAACCUAAUUGGAAAGUGGCGAACGGGUGAGUAACACGUAGGUAAUCUGCCUCGAAGUGGGGGAUAACCAUUGGAAACGAUGGCUAAUACCGCAUAGUCCUACUGAUAUGGGAAUAUCAAUAGGUAAAGCUCUGGCGCUUCGAGAGGAGCCUGCGUCCGAUUAGCUAGUUGGUGGGGUAAUGGCCCACCAAGGCGACGAUCGGUAGCUGGUCUGAGAGGACGAUCAGCCACACGGGGACUGAGACACGGCCCCGACUCCUACGGGGGGCAGCAGUGAGGAAUAUUGCACAAUGGGGGCAACCCUGAUGCAGCAACGCCGCGUGGAGGAUGAAGGCCCUUGGGUCGUAAACUCCUUUUUUGGGGGAAGAGCAAGGACGGUACCCCAAGAAUAAGUCACGGCUAACUACGUG
rnacentral:rRNA from 1 species